rnacentral:lncRNA from 1 species
CCUGUUUAUUUCUUUCAUCUGAAAGUCUUAUCUGUGCACCCCCAAAUUUCCCAAAAUGCUGCAAUAAAUGCUUUGGAAAUGAACUUACUCCUCCAGUAUACACAGCAUCCCUCUUUAGUAGUUAUACAUGCUUAAAAUAUUUAUUUUGGCUGGACACAAUGGCUCAUUCCUCUAAUCCUAACACUUUGGGAGGCCAAGGUGGUGAAAGGAUUGCUUGGGUUCAGGAGUUUGAGGUCAGCCAGGGCAACACAGUGAGACCCCAUCUUUACAAAAAAUAAAAAAUUAGCUGGGUGUGGUGGUUCAGGUCUGUAGUUCCAGCUACUUGGUAGACUGAGGUGGCAGGAUUGCUUGAGCCCUGGGAGGUGGAGGCUGCACUCAGCUGUGACUGCACUACUGCACUCCAGCCAUUUCUUCUUGCAUUUUAAAUUUUCCAGCUGGGACCAUAGUCUCUCUUCUGAGGUAUAUUAUUUAGAUAUUUCCUAAUUGAGGAUCUGUUAUGGUAAACAUUUAGUUUGUUCAGCUCUGAAAAUGAUUGAUUUUUUUCCUAUAUUUCAGUAUAGUAAAGUAACUGCCUAAGGGGUUCUUCCUGACUUGUAAUAAGGAGAGUUUAGUAGAUACGAGGCCUGCAACACCACAUGGGAGAUGGAGUUUACUCAAAUCAUCUCCUCUGAAGCUCAUAGGUUAGGGG